CGCUUCCAGAGCUCGGCCGU
rnacentral:misc_RNA from 1 species